rnacentral:piRNA from 1 species
UGAAAUGGUUUCUUCUGAAGGUGAUUACUUU